rnacentral:rRNA from 1 species
AAACGUAGGGGGCGAGCGUUGUCCGGAAUUACUGGGCGUAAAGGGCGUGUAGGCGGCUAGGUAAGUCAGGUGUGAAAACUUUGGGCUCAACCGGGAGAUUGCACCUGAAACUGCGUAGCUUGAGGGUAGGAGAGGGAAGUGGAAUUCCUAGUGUAGCGGUGAAAUGCGUAGAUAUUAGGAGGAACACCAGUGGCGAAGGCGACUUUCUGGCCUAACCCUGACGCUGAGGCGCGAAAGCGUGGGGAGCAAACAGGAUUAGAUACCCUGGUAGUCCACGCCGUAAACGAUGGGUACUAGGUGUAGGAGGUAUCGACCCCUUCUGUGACGCAGCAAACGCAUUAAGUACCCCGCCUGGGGAGUACGGCCGCAAGGCUGAA